rnacentral:rRNA from 1 species
UACAGGGGGGGCAAGCGUUGUUCGGAAUUACUGGGCGUAAAGCGUGCGUAGACGGCUAUCUAAGUCGGGUGUGAAAGCCCCGGGCUCAACCUGGGAAUUGCAUUCGAGACUGAAUAGCUAGGGUACGGUAGAGGGAAGCGGAAUUUCCGGUGUAGCGGUGAAAUGCGUAGAUAUCGGAAGGAACAUCAGUGGCGAAAGCGGCUUCCUGGACCAGUACCGACGUUCAGGCACGAAAGCGUGGGGAGCAAACAGG